rnacentral:rRNA from 1 species
UACGAAGGGGGCUAGCGUUGUUCGGAAUUACUGGGCGUAAAGCGCGCGCAGGCGGCUAUCCAAGUCAGUGGUGAAAGCCCGGAGCUCAACUCCGGAACUGCCAUUGAAACUGUUUAGCUUGAGGAUGAGAGAGGUGAGUGGAAUUCCCAGUGUAGAGGUGAAAUUCGUAGAUAUUGGGAAGAACACCGGUGGCGAAGGCGGCUAUCUGGACGGACACUGACGCUGAGACGCGAAAGCGUGGGGAGCAAACAGG